rfam:Saprolegnia parasitica CBS 223.65 mitochondrial scaffold supercont2.1443, whole genome shotgun sequence.
UCUUCAAUAACUCAAUUGGUUAGAGUAUAGAGCUGUUAACUCUAAAGUUGUAGGUUCAAGUCCUACUUGGAGAG